rnacentral:lncRNA from 1 species
GCUCGAGGCCACAUUUUGACUCGAAGUUCAGAAGAGUACACAAUUAGUUAAUGCAACAAAACUUCGCUUUCUUAAAACUUUUUCGAAAUAAAAUCGGUAUGCCUUGCAGAGAAAAAGGUCAGUAUUAAAUUUAGCUAUUUUUUUAACGUUUUUGAGAUGUUCUUGUUAAGAUAUUGCUGUUUUUGAAACACGUGUGUAUAUAUAUUCAUUGUAUUAAUUUGAAUUGAAUUUGAUUCCAUUCAAGCGCUUCGACCUUCGUUAUCGCGCUUUGUCGCUUUAUUUCCUUGGUAUUCCUCCCUCAUUUUGUAGCAGUAAUGUUCAGAAAUACGCCAGUUUUGAUUUAUGUAACUCAUAUUUACUUUAUCUGCGAUUUCAGGGCGAAAAUUUGAAGAAAAAGUGAACCAAUUUAAGUCGCAGACAUGGUCGAAAAGGCGAAGUACUUAGCACUUGGUAAGCAUAAUUUCCACUAAAGGCGUUUCAGUCCUUCUUGUUUUUUUAUCGUUUUUAAGCUUCCCUUAUACAGCUAGAACGUUUUCUAGUAAAGCCUUGUAGCUUUUUGAACACUCUCUGUAAAAUUUAGCUUAAAUUUUGUUGAAAAUUUUGUCCGUAAGAGCGAAAUGCAGACUCAUUUUAGACAUGUUCAAUUCGACAUGUAUUUCAAAUAUUCUAGCUUCUACAAACUUGUACAAAUUGUACCUGAGCGGGAAGGCUAAGCCUAAGCUUUUCGAGGUUUUUGAGCUUGUCUAAGUUGAAUCUAAAUCCAAAUCUUUUGAAGCAGUUCAGAGAUGAAAUGUCCUCGUGGUUCAUCCCCUAAUCAGUAUCGACAUACAUGCACGCAUUCUUUAAAAUUAAAAUAAAUUGAAUUGGACAACCACAUCCUGUGUAAACGACAUUAAAUAACUCUUUACUGUUUUUAAACUAAAAAUUCAUUAUCCAAUUUUUUUAAGUUGCCUCAAGUUCAAUCAUUCUGACGGCAAACAGUACAGAAAGACCUCUGCACAGAUUCGAGGAGACGCUCGCCUAGUAGUUGAAGCCAAACGAGAAGGCAAAGGCCAAAAAUACAACUUGAUACCAUAGUCUGACAGUAAGGGAACGCUCGAAAGCAUAUACACCCAUCAUCGGAUUUUGCUCAGUCAGCCAAUUGUGAAAGGGUAUCAAGACCUGUCAAGCCACGACGCCGUACCAUCCAAAAACCAAAACCAACGCGCCACACCAACCAGCCAAUGAAAUAGCCGUGAAAGAUGCUGUACAUUACAGAAGGAAUAUUGUUCUCGUGAUUCUCGUUCGUCGUGUUCGAAAGUACGUGGGGACCACCCUGAGGACGCCCAAAUGCACAAAACAAAUUUAAAUGUGGCACUUUUCACCUUAAUUUCGCAAUUUAUUCAAAUUUUUGACAUUUUCUGGUGUUUGUGAAAAGCUAUUAACGAAAUCGAAAUGUUUGAAAUUCGGACGGUUCUGUCUGGGAGUUUGUUUAUUUGAAAGAUAUUUGAAAUGAAAUUUUGAAAUUUACAUCACUUUCGUAUAGGUAAAAUCAUGCCAGAUGAGUGGUCGACCAUUCGUCGAGGUUCGGUGAUACUUCUGCUCGGACUUUCCCGACCUACAGUCGAGUUGCCCUGAUCGAUUGUCGUGAUCAACUAGCACAGGUGCAAGGUCUGGCCAACCUUACA